UACAUGGGGUGCAAACGUUGCUCGGAAUUACUGGGCGUAAAGCGCGCGCAGGCGGCUCUUCAAGUCAGGGGUGAAAGCCCAGAGCUCAACUCUGGAACUGCCUUUGAGACUGAAGAGCUUGAGUACGGGAGAGGUGAGUGGAAUUCCCAGUGUAGAGGUGAAAUUCGUAGAUAUUGGGAAGAACACCGGUGGCGAAGGCGGGUCGCUGGACAAGUAUUGACGCUGAGGUGCGAAAGCGUGGGGAGCAAACAGG
rnacentral:rRNA from 1 species